rnacentral:piRNA from 1 species
UGCAGGAUUUUCUCAAGCCGCUCAAUUUGGUC